rnacentral:lncRNA from 1 species
CAAUAUAUGGAUGAGUAUUUGUCCCCCGGGGCACAGCUCAACUGGUGGAUCAAUCAACAUUGGCUUGCUUCCAGCGGCAGGGUGGAGAGUUUGAUUCCUGAGGGAACCUGCGGCCAAUAAAUUGGUAUGGAGCAAUCACUGUGGAGGAGGGUCUCUUGUGCGCAGAAGUGUACGGUCAAUGGGGGGAACCUGUGAUCUAGUUGAGGCAUAACCUGCGAUUUAC